CCGGAUGCAGCUGAUGAAGCAAAUCUUACUGAGCACGCGCCGUGAUUUCAGUUCCAAAGUAAACGCACUGAUGCAUCCGUC
ensembl:snoRNA